GCAGCGACGCMGCGUGMGGGAUGACGGCCUUCGGGUUGUAAACCKCUUUCAGCAGGGAAGAAGCSCAAGUGACGGUACCUGCAGAARAAGUACCGGCUAACUACSUGCCAGCAGCCGCGGUAAUACGUAGGGUACGAGCGUUGUCCGGAAUUAUUGGGCGUAAAGAGCUCGUAGGUGGUUGGUCACGUCUGCUGUGGAAACSCAACGCUUAACSUUGCGCGUGCAGUGGGUACGGGCUGACUAGAGUGCAGUAGGGGAGUCUGGAAUUCCUGGUGUAGCGGUGAAAUGCGCAGAUAUCAGGAGGAACACCGGUGGCGAAGGSGGGACUCUGGGCUGUAACUGACACUGAGGAGCGAAAGCAUGGGGAGCGAACAGGAUUAGAUACCCUGGUAGUCCAUGCCGUAAACGUUGGGCACUAGGUGUGGGGGGCAUUCCACGUUCUCCGCGCCGUAGCUAACGCAUUAAGUGCCCCGCCUGGGGAGUACGG
rnacentral:rRNA from 1 species